GACGAACCGUACGAGCGUUGUUCGGAAUCACUGGGCGUAAAGGGCGCGUAGGCGGCCAUUCAAGUCGGGGGUGAAAGCCUGUGGCUCAACCACAGAAUUGCCUUCGAUACUGUUUGGCUUGAGACCGGAAGAGGUAAGUGGAACUGCGAGUGUAGAGGUGAAAUUCGUAGAUAUUCGCAAGAACACCAGUGGCGAAGGCGGCUUACUGGUCCGGUUCUGACGCUGAGGCGCGAAAGCGUGGGGAGCAAACAGG
rnacentral:rRNA from 1 species